UGUAAUUAUUAUUAUUAUUACCAUUAUUAUUUUUAAAGCGCUUGGUGUCACUUAAAAGACAGUACAAAGGACAGUAAACCCACCUGCUUUAGUGUCAAGUAAUUCUAUGACAACAUUUUGUAUUGACCAGUAGGUGGCGGUAGUGGCUUUGAUAUGUCAGCGACUGGCGCUCUUAUUCUUCUGUAGCCGGAAGUCAGCGCAGUCGUAGCAUAACAGUCAGGAAAGCAGUAGAGAACAAAGCCGGCAUUCAUCCUUGACUGUUCUUUUUACUAUGUUUACAGGUGAGAGACGUACACAAGCGCCAUAUAUAGUACUGAUAAUUGUGUGUUAAGUUUAUUAUCGUUUAUGGGGCCGUGUGUUUAUGUUUAUAAGUGUGAUGUACGUCACGGAGUUAGUCCGCUAGCUAAUGCUAACAAAGGCUAGCUUGAAUAGCUAUUUUAGGUCCGUGGCGCGGGAACGGUACAGUUCACGGUUGUGUAUUGAUUGUGUAAAUGUAUUCCCAUCUAAGAUGCAGUGACAUCGUAAACAAAUGUUCAGAGGUUGAUAUAAUUAGUAUAAUAUGUUCAGAGGUUGAUAUAAUUAGUAUAAUAUGUUCAGAGGUUGAUAUAAUUAGUAAUUUAUGUUCAGUGGUUGAUAUAAUAAGAGUGUGUAUUAGAGGCUGCACAGUUGCCAUGGUGAUUUGGUAAUGAUAGUUUCAGGAUAGAUUUAGCUUAUGGUAUAUUGUGUACUGAAUACUUCCAUUGUAUUACUUGAUAGUGAUUUAGUGAUAUUUAGUUACUGUAUAGUUAUUCUUCUGUAGCCGGAAGUCAGCGCAGUCGUAGCAUAACAGUCAGGAAAGCAGUAGAGAACAAAGCCGGCAUUCAUCCUUGACUGUUCUUUUUACUAUGUUUACAGCUUAAUAAAUGUACCUGGCACCUG